rnacentral:rRNA from 1 species
UACGUAGGUGACCAGCGUUGUCCGGAUUUACUGGGCGUAAAGAGCGCGCAGGCGGUCGUUCAAGUCGAGUGUGAAAGCCCCCGGCUCAACCGAGGAACUGCAUCCGAUACUGGCGGGCUUGAAUCCGGGAGAGGGAUGUGGAAUUCCAGGUGUAGCGGUGAAAUGCGUAGAUAUCUGGAGGAACACCGGUGGCGAAGGCGGCAUCCUGGACCGGUAUUGACGCUGAGGCGCGAAAGCUAGGGGAGCAAACGGG